AAACCCAUAAAAGUGACGGACAGGGUCCUUUAGUCCGUAGUUUUUUUGGAUUUUU
rnacentral:pre_miRNA from 1 species